rnacentral:rRNA from 1 species
UACGAAGGGGGCUAGCGUUGUUCGGAAUUACUGGGCGUAAAGCGCGCGCAGGCGGUUUUCCAAGUCAGUGGUGAAAGCCCGGAGCUCAACUCCGGAACUGCCAUUGAAACUGUUGAACUUGAGGACGAGAGAGGUGAGUGGAAUUCCCAGUGUAGAGGUGAAAUUCGUAGAUAUUGGGAAGAACACCGGUGGCGAAGGCGGCUCACUGGCUCGUUUCUGACGCUCAGGCGCGACAGCGUGGGGAUCAAACAG